UAAUACUAGCGGUCCAAGUCGCAGCCAUUUUUAUUGGGUCUAAAACAUCCGUAGCUUGCUUGAUAAGUUUCUUGUGAAAUCUGAUAUCUCAAAUAUUGGGCGUGCAAGAAGUACUGUCAAGCUAGAGACUGGGAGACGUGAGAGGUACGUUCGAAGUAGCGGUAAAAUGUGUUAAUCUCGAGCGGACUCACAAUAGCGAAGGCAUCUCACGAGAACAGUUCUGACAGUAAGGGAUGAAGGCUAGGGGCGCAAAACGGAUUAGAUACCCGUGUAGUCCUAGCAGUAAACACUGCACACUAAACAUCAGUACCUCUUCGGGAGGUAUUGGUGCUGAAGGGAAGCCGAAGAGUGUGCUACCUGGGAAGUAUAGUCGCAAGGCCG
rnacentral:rRNA from 1 species